GGAGAGGUGGCCGAGCGGUUGAAGGCGACAGAUUGCUAAUCUGUUGUAUGAUAGGUAACUUCGUACCGAGGGUUCGAAUCCCUCUCUCUCCU
rnacentral:tRNA from 1 species